CCUUGAAGAUCGGAGUGCUUGCACUCUGUGAAACAAGAUACAGGCUAGCGGCGGACGGGUGAGUAACACGUGGGUAACCUGCCCAAGAGAUCGGGAUAACACCUGGAAACAGAUGCUAAUACCGGAUAACAACAGAUGAUGCCUAUCAACUGUUUAAAAGAUGGUACUGCUAUCACUCUUGGAUGGACCUGCGGUGCAUUAGCUAGUUGGUAGGGUAACGGCCUACCAAGGCGAUGAUGCAUAGCCGAGUUGAGAGACUGAUCGGCCACAUUGGGACUGAGACACGGCCCAAACUCCUACGGGAGGCAGCAGUAGGGAAUCUUCCACAAUGGACGCAAGUCUGAUGGAGCAACGCCGCGUGAGUGAAGAAGGGUUUCGGCUCGUAAAGCUCUGUUGUUGGUGAAGAAGGACAGGGGUAGUAACUGACCUUUGUUUGACGGUAAUCAAUUAGAAAGUCACGGCUAACUACGUGCCAGCAGCCGCGGUAAUACGUAGGUGGCAAGCGUUGUCCGGAUUUAUUGGGCGUAAAGCGAGUGCAGGCGGCUCGAUAAGUCUGAUGUGAAAGCCUUCGGCUCAACCGGAGAAUUGCAUCAGAAACUGUCGAGCUUGAGUACAGAAGAGGAGAGUGGAACUCCAUGUGUAGCGGUGAAAUGCGUAGAUAUAUGGAAGAACACCGGUGGCGAAGGCGGCUCUCUGGUCUGUUACUGACGCUGAGGCUCGAAAGCAUGGGUAGCGA
rnacentral:rRNA from 1 species